rnacentral:rRNA from 1 species
UACGAAGGGGGCUAGCGUUGCUCGGAAUCACUGGGCGUAAAGGGCGCGUAGGCGGCCAUUCAAGUCAGAGGUGAAAGCCCAAGGCUCAACCUUGGAAUUGCCUUUGAUACUGUUUGGCUUGAGACCGGAAGAGGUUAGUGGAACUGCGAGUGUAGAGGUGAAAUUCGUAGAUAUUCGGCGGAACACCAGUGGCGAAGGCGACUCACUGGCCCGAUACUGACGCUGAGGCGCGAAAGCGUGGGGAGCAAACAGG